CGGCAACAGCUCAAAUUUGAAAUCUGGCCUCGGCCCGAGUUGUAAUUUGCAGAGGAUGCUUUUGGUGCGGUGCCUUCCGAGUUCCCUGGAACGGGACGCCACAGAGGGUGAGAGCCCCGUAUGGUCGGACACCAAUCCUGUGUAAAGCUCCUUCGACGAGUCGAGUAGUUUGGGAAUGCUGCUCUAAAUGGGAGGUAAAUCUCUUCUAAAGCUAAAUACCGGCCAGAGACCGAUAGCGCACAAGUAGAGUGAUCGAAAGAUGAAAAGCACCUUGAAAAGGGGGUUAAACAGUACGUGAAAUUGUUGAAAGGGAAGCACUUGUGACCAGACUUGGGCCGGGCGGCUCAUCAGGGGUUCUCCCCUGUGCAUUCCGCCCGGUACAGGCCAGCAUCGGUUCUUACCGGGGGAUAAGAACGGCAGGAACGUGGCUCCCUCUCGGGGGAGUGUUAUAGCCUGCCGUACGAUACCCUGGCGGGGACCGAGGUUCGCGCUUCCGCAAGGAUGCUGGCGUAAUGGUUACUAGUGACCCGUCUUGAAACACGGACCAAGGAGUCGUCCAUUAGAGCGAGCGUUUGGGUGUAAAACCCGCACGCGUAAUGAAAGUGAAAUUAGGUGAGAGCUUCGGCGCAUCAUCGACCGAUCCUGAUGUUCUCGGAUGGAUUUGAGUAAGAGUUUUAACGGACGGACCCGAAAGACAGUGAACUAUGCUUGUAUAGGGUGAAGCCAGAGGAAACUCUGGUGGAGGCUCGCAGCGGUUCUGACGUGCAAAUCGA
rnacentral:rRNA from 1 species